rnacentral:tRNA from 1 species
GUGUUCGUGGUGUAGAGGUUCUGCACGCCGGCCUGUGACGCCGGAGGAAUCGGUUCAAUUCCGUUCGAACACC